GCAGAAGGAUCAUUAGUGAAGAUUUGGGCAGGCCAUACGGACGCCAAAAAGUGUCCCUGGCCGCCUACACCCACUAUACAUCCACAAACCCGUGUGCACUGUCUUGGAGAAAGGCUUCAGAGAAGUUUUUUGUGGCCUCUCUUGGGGUCUUUCUUCGCUACAAACUCGAAUGGUUAGUAUGAACGUGGAACUUGGUUGGACCGUCACUGGCCAACAAACUAUACACAACUUUCGACAACGGAUCUCUUGGUUCUCCCA
rnacentral:misc_RNA from 1 species